UACGGGGGGUGCGAGCGUUGUCCGGAAUCACUGGGCGUAAAGGGCGCGUAGGUGGCGUCGUAAGUCUGUGGUGGAAGCCCGGAGCUCAACUCCGGGUCUGCCGCGGAUACUGCGAGGCUUGAGUGCUGUAGAGGGGGGUAGAAUGCCGGGUGUAGCGGUGGAAUGCGUAGAGAUCCGGCAGAAGACCGGUGGCGAAGGCGGCCCCCUGGGCAGUAACUGACACUGAGGCGCGACAGCGUGGGGGAGCAAACAGG
rnacentral:rRNA from 1 species